rnacentral:misc_RNA from 1 species
ACUCUAUCAAAGAUAUAAUAUUUUAAUUAAACUCUACCUUAAAAAGCUGUUACAACGUAGCCAUAAUUUGAUCUCACCAGCAAAAACAAAAUCCUUCAAGAUCGUCAACAACUUUCCAUAUUCUCUCUUACAUCAACAUUCGAAUUGAAAUCUCCAAAAAUGAUUACUCACUUUGUUGGCUCGAAAGCAUAGAUAAUUUUUUUUUUUUUUCAAUCUAUCUUUCCUCAUUGUUUUCAGUAAGUCGAGACAAAAAGAGAAGCUGAAGGUCCUGCAAUGCCUGGGUAACUUCAUAAGGCGGUGUUGACAGCGGGGCAGGGAGGAUCGACAAUCAGUUAUUGGGCUUUUUAAGCCAGUGUAAAGGACAUCUAACGAUAAUCUAUACUAUAGGUCUGAAAUAAAACAGAAAAGCUCAAUUCUCAAAAGUAGAUUCAAUCUCUAAGCCCACAAUUAAAAUAGCUUAUCAUAUAAAUUAGCCCAUGAUAAAUCUUGCCCAUCCACCAAACCUUAAUCCUAUAGCAAAGCAAAAGGAGGAAUGUAACAUCAACCGCACAGAAUCGCCAUACCCCUUUUGCUAGCCAUUGCUUGCAUCGGUGCCCUUGCCUUCUCUAUCUUCACCACAAUUGAGAGGUCUAACCUAAACACAGUAAGCAUGGAGCAUUUAUCUGCGGCAUUAUUCAAGGAGAUAAACACAUACAGAGCCAUCCACAUAGAAUAUCAAUGAAUCACCCAUUUUCACAGUAGUCUCCAGUUAUGAAAUGUUGAUAAUCUUGAGAGUGAUGAGUACACAACAAGAUAAAUCUUAUUGGAAAGUCAAUAAAAACCUUAGAAUUAAACGCAUAAGUGGUAACGAAAAGCUUCAAUAAAGAGAAGAGGAACAGAUAAAAAAAAAAAAAGCAAAAAGAAAACAAAGAAGGUGGAGAACAAGAGUAGGU